GACGAACGCUGGCGGCGGGCCUAACACAUGCAAGUCGAACGAACUGUUCGGAGUUUGUGGCGGCUGGGGGAGUACCACGUGGGGAGGUGCACUUAGGUACGGCAUAACUCAGGGAAAGUUGAGCUAAUACCAGAUGUGCGCUUAGGGGGAAAGAUUUAUGGCCUUUCGAGCGGCGCGCGUCAGAUUCGGUAGUUGGGAAGGUAAUGGCUCGCCAAGGCGAGGAUCAGUAGCUGGUCUGAGAGGAGGAUCAGCAACAUUAGGACUGAGACACGGCCCAAACUCCUACGCAAGGGAGCAGAGGGUAAUCGUGCGCAAGGGGCGAAAGCCUGACGCAGCCAUGACGCGUAAAUGAUGAUGGUCGUAGGAAUGUAAAAUUCUUUCACCGGGGACGAUAAUGACGGUACCCGGUGAAGAAGCCCCGGCUAACUACGUG
rnacentral:rRNA from 1 species